rnacentral:rRNA from 2 species
UACGUAUGUCGCAAGCGUUAUCCGGAAUUAUUGGGCAUAAAGGGCAUCUAGGCGGCCCUGUAAGUCUAGGGUGAAAACCUGCGGCUCAACCGCAGGCCUGCCCCGGAAACUACAGGGCUAGAGUAUCGGAGAGGUGGACGGAACUGCACGAGUAGAGGUGAAAUUCGUAGAUAUGUGCAGGAAUGCCGAUGAUGAAGAUAGUUCACUGGACGGUAACUGACGCUGAAGUGCGAAAGCUAGGGGAGCAAACAGG